AGAGAGUUGCUCGAGUGGUUGAAGAGGCACGCCUGGAAAGUGUGUAAGGUGUCAAAGCCUUCGAGGGUUCGAAUCCCUCACUCUCUG
rnacentral:tRNA from 1 species